UGGACAGGGAGACAGGUGGUGGCGAUGGUUGUCGUCAGCUCGUGUCGUGAGAUGUUGGUUAAGUCCCGCAACGAGCGCAACCCUACGUUUAGUUGCUAACGCGUGAAGGCGAGCACUCUAGACGAACUGCCGUUGACAAAACGGAGGAAGGUGGGGAUGACGUCAAAUCAUCAUGCCCCUUAUGUUCUGGGCUACACACGUGCUACAAUGGCCGGUACAGACGGACGCAAAGCCGCGAGGUGGAGCAAAUCCUAAAAAGCCGGUCUCAGUUCGGAUUGCAGGCUGCAAUUCGCCUGCAUGAAGUCGGAAUCGCUAGUAAUCGCAGGUCAGCAUACUGCGGUGAAUACGUUCCCGGGCCUU
rnacentral:rRNA from 1 species